rnacentral:rRNA from 1 species
GACGGGGGGGGCAAGUGUUCUUCGGAAUGACUGGGCGUAAAGGGCACGUAGGCGGUGAAUCGGGUUGAAAGUGAAAGUCGCCAAAAACUGGCGGAAUGCUCUCGAAACCAAUUCACUUGAGUGAGACAGAGGAGAGUGGAAUUUCGUGUGUAGGGGUGAAAUCCCGAGAUCUACGAAGGAACGCCAAAAGCGAAGGCAGCUCUCUGGGUCCCUACCGACGCUGAGGCGCGAAAGCGUGGGGAGCGAACAGG